CAACCUGAUCCGGCCCCCCGAUAUUCGGGA
rnacentral:sRNA from 1 species